rnacentral:rRNA from 1 species
AUUGAACGCUGGCGGCAUGCCUUACACAUGCAAGUCGAACGGCAGCACGGGAGCAAUCCUGGUGGCGAGUGGCGAACGGGUGAGUAAUAUAUCGGAACGUGCCCAGUAGUGGGGGAUAGCCCGGCGAAAGCCGGAUUAAUACCGCAUGAGACCUGAGGGUGAAAGCGGGGGAUCGCAAGACCUCGCGCUAUUGGAGCGGCCGAUAUCAGAUUAGCUAGUUGGUGGGUAAAGGCCUACCAAGGCAACGAUCUGUAGUUGGUCUGAGAGGACGACCAGCCACACUGGGACUGAGACACGGCCCAGACUCCUACGGGAGGCAGCAGUGGGGAAUUUUGGGACAAUGGGCGCAAGCCUGAUCCAGCAAUGCCGCGUGCAGGAAGAA